GGCCAUUUGGUUGCAACAUCUGUCACCCCACUGAUCACCAGGUUGAUCUGGCUGGCUGGGCAGGUGUCCCCUUCCUCCUCCGUGGCUCCAUAUGCUUCCCUCCCGAAGCUGCAUGCUCAUGCGAAGAGGACAACCUCCCCCAGUAGCGGGGGACUGUUCUGGGGUCAAGAGAUUUGAGUAGCUGUACUCCCCUGCUGGAACCUCCAAACAAGCUCUUAAGGUCUGUUUGGAGGAAAAUUUAGGGUAGUCAAACUUCCAAG
rnacentral:snRNA from 1 species